AAAAAAAAGAGGAUCCUGUGGCAUAACACGUUUGUGUUUUGUUAUCAGGUACCCAGGGUAAAGAGGGCUCCAGCCCCACGUUAAUAAGUGACUUAAUAAUCUGUCCAGCGAUGGGUUUAUAAAGGGCAGAGCAGAGGCACACCUCAAUUCAAGCUGUAGGCUCCUCUCUCUGCAUCUCAAGGCUCUCUGAGACAUCCGGGCGAAGCUGAAAAUGAAACCACUGAGUGUUUGUCUCGUGUUGACCUCUUGCAUCCUCUGGGGCUCACUGAGUGUGGAGAUUAGGGAUGGAGAAAGGAGCUAUCCCCUAGAGGCUGUGAAAGCGUUGAAGGAGCUGAUCGACACAGAUGCCAUGGUUAACCUGCGGUUGAUCAACACCAACAUGGUCUCUGUCUGUAACAACCCUGUCUUGCCACAGGCCUUCUAUCCAGUGUGCCAGGGCAAAGAGGCAGCUAUGGUCUUCUCCAGGCUAGGUAAGGCUGUACCAUAAACAAACAGUGGGUGGACUGAAAUAUUGUAAUUCAAUAUCGUUAUAUGACUUUAAAAAUGGUUUGUCUUAUUGCCCCAUCCACCUUAUCUGUUGUAAAAAUGUAUAAACUGCACAUUUUAGCAUUCAAACACAAGACUGUUUAGAUCCUGCGGACUUGAAUAUGUUCCGCGGACUUGAAUAUGUUCCGGUCAGCCUCAGAGAACAACACCGACCUAUACGCUGACUUGGUGAGUGCGUUUAUAAAGAAGUGCAUUGGAGAUGUUGUACCCACUGUGACUAUUAAAACCUACCCUAACCAGAAACCUUGGAUGGAUGGCGGCAUUUGCGCAAAACUGAAAACGCGAUCCAUCGCAUUUAACCAUGGAAAGAGGUCUGGGAAUAUGACUGAAUAUAAACAGUGUAGUUAUUCCCUCCGCAGAGCAAUCAAACAAGCAAACUGCCAGUACAGGGACAAGGUGGAGUCGCAAUUCAACGGCUCAGACACGAGACGUAUGUGGCAGGGUCUACAGGAAAUCAUGGACCACAAAAAAAAAAAAACAGCCACGUCACGGACACCAACGUCACACUUCCAGACAAACUAAACAUUAUCCCGCUUGUGGAUAAUACAGUGCCACCGUCGCGGCCCGCUAAUAAGGACUGCGCCCCCCCCUCUCCUUCUCUGUGGCUGAUGUGAGCAAAACAUUUAAACGUGUUAACCCUCGCAAGGCUGCUGGCCCAGACAGCAUCCCUAGCUGUGUCCUCUGAGCAUGCGCAGACUGGUGUGUUUACGGACAUAUUCAAUCGCUCUCUAUUCCAGUCUGUUGUCCCCACAUCCAGUCCCGCUCCAAGGCCGGAGCCUUCCUCUGCGCCGGUGCCCAGUCCAGGCACGGCAUCCAGUACCGCUCCAAGGCCGGAGCCUUCCUCUGCGCCGGUGCCCAGUCCAGGCACGGCGUUCAGCCCGGCUGGGUCUGGGCGGGGGCUACGACCUGCACCGGAGCCGCCACCAACACUAGUCACCCCCCCCAGUUGGUUUCAGGUUUUGCGGCCGGAGUCCGCACCUUUGGGAGGGGGGUACUGUCACGUCCUGACCAUAGAGAGCCCUUGGUUCUCUAUGGUGUAGUAGGUCAGGGCGUGACUAGGGGGUGUUCUAGUUCAAUAUUUCUAUGUUGGUGUUUUGUAUGGUUCCCAAUUAGAGGCAGCUGGUAAUCGUUGCCUCUAAUUGGGGAUCAUAUUUAAGUAGCCAUUUUUCCCACCUGUGUUUGUGGGAUAUUGUUUGUGUUGGUGCUUGUGUCACCACGUAGUCACGUUAUAUUGCUAGUUUAUUGUUUUGGUUAAAGAAGUUUCACUUUAAAUAAAUAUGUGGAACUCAACAAACGCUGCGCCUUGGUCCGUCUCUUACAACAACUGUGACACUGACCAAACCCUCCUAACCUGGACGAAGCUGGGUGAAUUGUGCACCGCCCUAUGGGACUCCUGGUCACGGCCGGUUGUGACACAGACUGGGAUUGAACUCCGAUCAGUAGUGACGCCUCAAGCACAACUAUGCAGUGCCUUAGACCGCUGCGCCACUCGGGAGGCCCCAUUUCAUAUAUUUUUUUUUUUUCCUGGCGGGGGGGCACCAUGGGAUUUAUUUAAGACACUCUUUAUAGAAGUAGUAGUAAUUCACUAUUUUACAACUUGUUGGAUGGUUGCUCAUCCUGAAAGUAGUCUAUGGGCCAGGAGAAACUGUAAUCCAUGGUUCAGUUUUCUUUAAACAGCCAUUACAAACUUUCACCACUAGCUAAGAAUCAAUGUAGGUGAAAUCAAUGUAAUUUGGCCAUAAAAAAAACAUGUUCACAUGUCCCCAUCAAUUCCAUUGAGUUUUAGCUAGCGGUGGCUAAAGUUAGCUGAAGCUUGUAAUAGCUGUUUAAAGGAAUCUGAACCAUGGAUUACAGUUUUUCCUGGCCCAUAGUCUACUUUCAGGGUCAUCUAAAAUCAAGUUGUAAAAUAGUGAACUACUCUUUAAAGACCCCACAACCUCCCUAUGGGGCCUGUUCUGAACUGAAUUUAUGUUGUGUACUCAGGGAAGGGUGUAUGCAGAUUGAAAGGCGUUUGAAGUCAAUGAUAAUGGAAACCUAAUCCAUCCUCAAGGGAUUGACUCUGAAGGGUUCAGCAUACAUUGGUAGUCAUUAGCACAUUGAGUGGUUUCAGUGAAACACUGAUUACUAUCUGCCUUGUUAUCAGCUGACAUGACCUCUAACCACCAAUACCAGCAGCCAAAGUGCUCUGUAACCUGACAGGAUUUACUGAGUUUUAGAGACAAUACAACCAUCCCAUAUCAUUCAUCAUUUUUAUACGAUCAACAACAUGACUACUUGAGCAAAGCUGUGAGAUCAGAGAGCCAGAUCACAGAUGUGACAGUACUGACAUAUUUCCUAUUUUAUUCCACAUGAGCACACAUGGAAAACCCAGGAAAGCAAUUCUCGGAGACUGAGGAACGCGUUUUCAUAGCACCUCUUGUUAGCUCUACCAGAGAGCUGGACCACAUACACAGGAUGUAGCAGUAGACGGCUUGCUACAACAAGCAGGAGAUGUUGGCCUGGACACAGCCAGUCCUGCUGCCAAAAGAGAAUGAUUCCUGCGUAUAAUAUAUCCUUCCACUUAACGACAUGAUUUAUGUGUGUUGCUCACGAGUGAUUCUACUCACAAGAGCCCAAUUAAAACGGAACAAACAGCAUUUGAGUGCAAUAAAAUGUGCAAGACAAAGAGCACUCCCAUGCCUCUCUAUUGCUCUGCAAGCCCUUUAACGAGGCUGAUUAACUUCCUCCCGUUGUCAAUAUUAGCAUUGUAUCUGACACUACAGCAGCCAUAGGCAUAUAUUAACCUUCUGUGUUUGUUGUCUCUCUCCAGUGGAUGCCAUCAAGUCUCCAGAUCUGUGUGAGAUCUGUGCCCACCCCGCGUGCUUUGGAUGUCUACCGUAAGACUGCCACCAUCUGUUACACAAUCCUCUGAAGCUUUCCUAUCUACAACACACAUCUUCACCUUCAGAUCUGCAUCGCAUAUGAAGCCAGGGCAUGAAUAAGCCCAUCCUAUCCAUGUGCCAGUGGCCAUUCAUCGACAAAUUGCAUACAGUUGAGGAAUGUUAUGUGUUUGAUGUUGUUUGAGCUGUACGGCCAAAAUCAAUUUACUUAUAAUUCAGCAAAAGGCUUUAAAUGAACAGUAAUGUCCAGAUGUUCUUGACGUUUCCAUGGAUUACCAUGGAAUAUGUGAUAAAUUCACUGUAGAAACUGUGAAUCAUAAAUUUCUAUUGCUAAUCAAAUUGUGUCUAAUCUGUUGUCCCAUUUCUUCCACCAGACUGAAUGUGUUUAUACUCUGCCACAUUUACUGUAAAUGGACUGAUUCUGUAAAUAUUUCGAAAUAUAUCUACUUUACUGACACUGUUCAUUUGUUUCAAUAUGGAUUGAUAGUGAAACAGCUAAAAUUAUUCAUACACUAUAUAUACAAAAGUAUGUGGACAUCUCUUCAAAUUAGUGGAUUCGGCUAUUUCAGCCACACCCGUUGCUGACAGGUGUAUAAAAUCAAGCACACAGCCAUGCAAUCUCCGUAGACAAACAUUGGCAGUAGAAUGGCUUUACUGAAGAGCUCAGUGAGUGUCAAAGUGGUACCAUCAUAGGAUGCCACCUUUCCCACCAGUCAGUUCGUCAAAUUUCUGCCCUGCUAGAGUUUAGGGAAGGCCCUUUCCUGUUUCAGCAUGACGAUGCCCCC
rnacentral:lncRNA from 1 species